GACGAACGCUGGCGGCGUGCCUAAUACAUGCAAGUCGAGCGGAUCUUCAUUAGCUUGCUUUUGAAGAUCAGCGGCGGACGGGUGAGUAACACGUGGGCAACCUGCCUGUAAGACUGGGAUAACUUCGGGAAACCGGAGCUAAUACCGGAUAAUCCUUUUCCUCUCAUGAGGAAAAGCUGAAAGACGGUUUCUGCUGUCACUUACAGAUGGGCCCGCGGCGCAUUAGCUAGUUGGUGAGGUAACGGCUCACCAAGGCGACGAUGCGUAGCCGACCUGAGAGGGUGAUCGGCCACACUGGGACUGAGACACGGCCCAGACUCCUACGGGAGGCAGCAGUAGGGAAUCUUCCGCAAUGGACGAAAGUCUGACGGAGCAACGCCGCGUGAGCGAUGAAGGCCUUCGGGUCGUAAAGCUCUGUUGUCAGGGAAGAACAAGUACCGGAGUAACUGCCGGUACCUUGACGGUACCUGACCAGAAAGCCACGGCUAACUACGUGCCAGCAGCCGCCGUAAAAC
rnacentral:rRNA from 1 species